CCUACGGGGGGCAGCAGUGGGGAAUAUUGCGCAAUGGGCGCAAGCCUGACGCAGCGACGCCGCGUGCGGGAUGAAGGUCUUCGGAUCGGAAACCUCUUUCAGCAUGGAAGAACGGUCACUGUGCUAAUCAGCAGUGAAUUGACGGUACCUGCAAAGGAAGCACCGGCUAACUCCGUGCCAGCAGCCGCGGUAAUACGGAGGGUGCGAGCGUUAAUCGGAAUUACUGGGCGUAAAGCGCUCGUAGGCGGUAUGUCAAGUCAAGGGUGAAAUCCCCGGGCUCAACGUGGGAACUGCAUUUGAAACUGGAAAACUGGAGUGUGUGAGAGGAUAGUGGAAUUCCAGGUGUAGGAGUGAAAUCCGUAGAUAUCUGGAGGAACAUCAGUGGCGAAGGCGACUAUCUGGCACAUAACUGACGCUGAGGAGCGAAAGCGUGGGUAGCAAACAGGAUUAGAUACCCUUGUAGUC
rnacentral:rRNA from 1 species